ACAUCUCACUAUAUCUAUCUAGCUCUAUAUAUAAUCUGUUAUUUAGCCCUUGUAAUAAUUCUACUGUAUCAGAGAUAGUAGUGUUGUGCUGGUCCAACCCCUGGUCCAACCCCUCAACCUACGUGUGAAUUCAGUUAGUCCACAAGGGGGCACAUGUUAUUCACGACAAAACCAUCAGUAGUUCAACAGGAAUUGCUUUAGGGAAUGCGAACCAUAAUAUAAACCUUUUUUAACCACUUUAAAGAUAUUAAUAAAAUGAUCAUCCCUGAGGUCAUUUUUGCUAUUCUAAAUCCAAAGCUUAUCAUUUUAAUGCAGUUUUAAUUUUUGUAUUAAAAAAAAAGUCAAUAUACUGUCCUUUUACUUAAUUUUUUCAUUUUAGCAAUUUAGCAGACGCUCUUACCCAGAACGACUUACAGGAGCAAUUAGGAUUAAGUGCCUUGCUCAAGGGCACAUUGACAGAUUUUUCACUUAGUCAGCUCAGAGAUUCUGUAUUAUAUGGGUGGGUUGAGACCAAAGUCAUGCCAUGAAUUUUAUCCCCAGCUCAUGCUUAUGUAAAUUACCUCCACUAAUGAAACUGUGAAUAACAUGACUUUAUUUCCUCAGCUUAUAUUGUGAGGCAGAUGGAGCUAUAGAACAGCAUGUCAGAAUAAAUGCAGUUGGUGAACAUGAAGCUGCUACUUUGGGCUGCUGAAAGUAAACAAAUGGGGCCCCAGGGAGAGCAGGGCUGCUGGAGGCAGCACAGUGCUGGACUAGGCUGCCUUCUCCUGAUGUGUAUGUAGCUGAAACCAAACAGAGCUUUCAUGGAGGGUUUGAUCAACAGGCCAACAAUGGACACCAUAUUGCAUGGGGGUAGUGGUACUGAUAUCUCUGAUUCUCAUACAUAAUGUCUCUGCUGCCAUAUUCCUGGCAGGUCUCUCUGUAACAGGCCUCUCUGCGCCAAUAGAGUAGGUUGAUAUCAGAUCGUCACGAGACCAAAAAAGUUGGUCAUUAAUGGAAGUGUAUGGACAUUUUCAGCUGGGGAUUUUGUACACUUGAAUAGGGGAAGGGGCAUUGGUUAUAGAUACACUACUGUUCAAAAGUUUGUGGUCACUUAGAAAUGCCCUUGUUUUUGAAAGAAAAGCCCAUUUUAUUGUCCAUUAAAAUCACAUCACAUUGAUCAGAAAUACAGUGCAGACAUUGUUAAUGUUGUAAAUGAUUAUUGUAGCUGGAAACGGCUGAUUUUUAAUGGAAUAUAGGCGUACAGUGACCCAUUAUCAGCAACCAUCACUUUAUGUUUCAUUGGCACAUUGUGUUAGCUAAUCCAAGGUUAUCAUUUUAAAAGGCUAAUUGAUCAUUAGAAAACCCUUUUGCGAUUAUGUUAGCAGAGCUGAAAACUGUUGUUCUGAUUAAAGAAGCAAUAAAACUG